UACGAAGGGGGCGAGCGUUGUUCGGAUUUACUGGGCGUAAAGGGCGCGCAGGCGGCGGAUCAAGUCAGAUGUGAAAGCCCCGGGCUUAACCUGGGAACUGCAUUUGGGACUGGUUUGCUAGAGAUCGGGAGAGGAGAGUGGAAUUCCCAGUGUAGAGGUGGAAUUCGUAGAUAUUGGGAAGAACACCGGUGGCGAAGGCGGCUCUCUGGACCGAUACUGACGCUGAGGCGCGAAAGCGUGGGGAGCAAACAGG
rnacentral:rRNA from 1 species